rnacentral:rRNA from 1 species
CCUACGGGUGGCAGCAGUAGGGAAUAUUGCACAAUGGGGGAAACCCUGAUGCAGCAACGCCGCGUGAGUGAUGAAGUAUUUCGGUAUGUAAAGCUCUAUCAGCAGGGAAGAAAAUGACGGUAUCUGACUAAGAAGCACCGGCUAACUACGUGCCAGCAGCCGCGGUAAUACGGAGGGGGCAAGCGUUAUCCGGAUUUACUGGGUGUAAAGGGAGCGUAGGCGGGAAGACAAGUCAGAAGUGAAAGCCCAGGGCUUAACUAUAGGACUGCUUUUGAAACUGCCAGUCUGGAGUGUAGGAGAGGUAGGUGGAAUUCUUGGUGUAGGGGUGAAAUGCGUAGAGAUCAGGAGGAACACUCGUGGCGAAGGCGGCCUACUGGAACGUAACUGACGUUGAGGCUCGAAAGCGUGGGGAGCAAACAGGAUUAGAUACCCGAGUAGUC